AUGUUCAGUGCCCAGUGGCAGGGGGAGCUUUUCCACUGGGAAGAAGUUGCUCCUCUCUGUCUUGGGCAUGCUGUUUCUUGUGGCUUUGCUGGAUUAUGGCCUCAGAGCCUCAGGCUGCAGGGUAUGGGUGGUUGUCCUGCCCACUUUGAGCAUGACCCGCACUUGGAGCAAGGAGGUGUUUUAUCUGUGCCCUCCGUGGUCACAGACAAGAACACACAGGGUGGUCCUCCCGGGAUGAUCCCAGAAGGCCUGGACUCUUGGUCAGGAGCCACGCCAUUCCUCAGCCCAUACUGUGAGAUAAAGUCCACCUCAGAAAUGAUGACACCACAAGCUGAAGGUCACCAAGGUCUGUCUGCAGGCAACCUGUCUGUAGAGCAUCCUGCUCGUCAUUC
rnacentral:lncRNA from 1 species